rnacentral:sRNA from 1 species
UGAUAUGAUAUUAUGAUAGUUUGAAUAA